rnacentral:piRNA from 1 species
GUAGAUGUGUUAGACCAAAUGGGGACGG